ACCUGGAUAUGCAGGGCCCACCUGUUUGGGCGGGAUCUUGUUUGUCCAAUGGGUCUUCUUGGAUAGGAGCCAACAUAACCCAAGCAGCUACCGCCCCUUGGGGUCUUCAUCCAGUGUUGAGAUGACCUGGAUUCUGUUCCUGGCAUCCCCAUGGCAGCUCACAGCUGUCUUUAUCUUCUGUCGUCCCAAGUCCAGUCCGUUACUAAACAUCAGACACGAAUCAGCCACGUGAGGCUCAGCCAAAGUGCCCAGGUCCAGCCGGAAUACCACCAGAAGUUCUUUGGUGUUUUUCUAUAAAGCCACGACGGGUGAAGAUCCGUGAAGAAAGCAAGGUGAACCAAUGUAAUAUCGCCAUCAUCAGUUAAAACCAGUGUCAAUGAGGCCCCACAGAGACCGGCAAAGAGUGGUAAGGUCAACCAGUGCCUGACCAUCAACCAUUGUCUGUUGGGUUGUACUUACACUCAUUCCAAACAUCGCAUGUCUUCCUCAAAUGUCUGCUCCAG